AGACAACUACACAGAGAAGGUGGAAAGAGUGCGGAAAGCCAGGGCUUCCGAGACCCACCAGGGCUGGUGCACACACGGACUUAGAGACAGAAGCAGCACCCACAGAGGCUGCACUGGUCUGUACCGGAAUGAGUCCUAGAGCUGAGAGAAGCAGACACAGGCUCCCAUUGCCUUGUCCAGAAGCUAUCUCCAACUGACAAACGAGAAAUCCGAUCUUUUCAAGGCAGUCUCACUGGGGAAACGAACCGCUCUUAAGGGAAAAAAAUUAAACCUGUCUGGCGAGUGAAGUCCAAGAAUGGAUGGAUCAGGCAUGCAUGCCAGGCCAAGGUAAAGGGGCCGCCAACUGAUCAGUCACCUGACACCCAGUGUGGACCAGCAAACAGGAUUCCCAUCAUCCCUCUGGUUCAUCUCCAUGCCACCGCCCACUCAGUGGUCACCUGCCCAGUGCUCUUCCCUCCUCAGGACCUCGUCCAGUCACCUCCUCUUUACUUCUGCAGUGAGCUCACCUCUACAGCUCUGACUUCAACCCUGGCUCCGCAGUGGCUGAUUCUACAGCGGCUGCUUCUUCUGCAGAUGGCGUAUCAAUACAGGAUCGGUUUACACUUCUACCACCCUGCUUCAGAAAACCCUUAUGCUUCCGCUGGAGCCUUUGAAACUUUUGUGCGCAUUCCGUGACCAGCGUAUAUGUAUAAUAUAAUAUCUCUCUGAAAGACCUA